rnacentral:rRNA from 1 species
GACGAACGCUGGCGGCGUGCUUAACACAUGCAAGUCGAACGGAAAGGCCCUGCUUUUGUGGGGUGCUCGAGUGGCGAACGGGUGAGUAACACGUGAGUAACCUGCCCUUGACUUUGGGAUAACUUCAGGAAACUGGGGCUAAUACCGGAUAGGAGCUCCUGCUGCAUGGUGGGGGUUGGAAAGUUUCGGCGGUUGGGGAUGGACUCGCGGCUUAUCAGCUUGUUGGUGGGGUAGUGGCUUACCAAGGCUUUGACGGGUAGCCGGCCUGAGAGGGUGACCGGCCACAUUGGGAAUGAGAUACGGCCCAGACUCCUACGGGAGGCAGCAGUGGGGAAUAUUGCACAAUGGGCGGAAGCCUGAUGCAGCAACGCCGCGUGCGGGAUGAAGGCCUUCGGGUGGUAAACCGCUUUCGCCUGUGACGAAGCGUGAGUGACGGUAAUGGGUAAAGAAGCACCGGCUAACUACGU